CUCCACGUAACUGUCGAACGGUGGAUGCGACGCCGGCACCUACCGGCGCCGGUAAAUUCGCUGUGUUCCGAUUGAGAAAAUCAAACGACCUCCACCUUCUCUCCUUGAUCCAAUCACACCCAUGUCAAAAAAAUCCAAUCAGGCCGCCGCUUAGGCAUCUUCUUCCUCCAGAGAGCGCAGUCGCCGGCCGCCCGCACGACCAAACCUCUCCGCCGCCGGUAGCCCGCACGUUUAAUCUUUCGACCGGCGGUCGUAUCCAGCCCAUGCGGGCAUGCGGCCGCCCCAAGCUGUACCAUACUACCAUGUCUAACCCCCGCCGCCGAGGAACCUCAUACCCAACAGCGUCCCGAACAUCCUCGCCACCUUCAAGAUGCCCUACGGCCUGACCUACAUCGACACAAGCCCACCGACCGCUGCUCCGAUGGCUGCAUCGUCAUGGACUACAUAUUUAGCUAUCCUUUUCUUAGUCCCACCUCCUGAGAUUCAGGAGAGAUGGUGCUUUACUGUGCUAAUUAGUUCAUUCGUUCAUGAGAUUAAUAUGUAGUCCAUAUGUAGCCUAAUUGAUACUUUUCAUUUGUUAUGUAUUGGCACAUGUGGAUCCAUUAGUGUUAUAUCUCAUUAGUGAAUAGUAUUUUUUUUGGUUCUUGAUGUUGCAGUUGAGCCCUAUUUUUCCUUUUGUGAUGCAAUUAAUUGCCAUUGUCAAGUGUGGUACGAAAAUACAUUGCAUUGGCUGCCCAUGUUUGUUUGAGCUGAAUGGUGCAGGUUAACACGCCGCUGCCAUGGCCACCUACAGACUGCAGGUUGGGCAAGGUGAGGAAAAUAACCAUGGUAAUUAUCGUGAUUUUCUUUGCUUGAAUAUCCAUAAUCUACAUAACCGUGAGGAGCUGCAAGUCUGAAUUGAUUGGCUGCAUACAAUGUUUGGCUUAGCCCUUCAUGGAGUGGCUUCAAAUCAUCUAAAACGUGCAUUUUUAGUUGUGUUUGGGAAACCGAAAUCCAAUCUUAAUAAUCAGUCACUACUCUUCAGCGUUUUCUUAUGUAAAAGCUGAGAUCCUAUCAAUCUCAGUGUAUCUAUUUCUUGACUGAAGCUUAUACAGUAAUACGAGAUAGAUUGUCGAGACAGAGAGCCAUAUAUCUACAUCUAUUAAUGUUUUGGAGAGGCAUGUCAUUCCCCAGAUUAUACCAAUUUUCACAGUACAUUACUAUAUUAUAAGGUUCUGCCACUGAACUUGAUAUGAAAUAUUCUUUCUCUUUUAAUGGAUACACAAGUUUGUUGUUCUGACUGAUCACUCUAUUAUAAGACUGAGCUUGAUAUGAAAUAUUCUGUCUUUUUUCUGUUGUUGCUGAACCUAUUGGCUUGUUUGUGAAUAAUCACAUGGUUUUGAUUGAGGUAAGGACCAAGUUGUACUUUUGCUAUGUCAGUAACAUCUGGAGAAUGCAGUCACAGAAGGAGUACACCAAGUUGGAAUUUUGCAUUCCAUCAUGGGAUCUGCAGCUAGCCUGUGCCGUCAAGUUGUACCUCAGAUUGGUUUCAUUGAUGGUCCAUGACUGGAGGUUUUAACCAACACAAGAUCAAGGUCGGUUGGUAGAAUGCCUUCAGAACAGAGAAAUCUCCACUACUAUGGCAUGAGAGUUGGUUCAUUCCUAUCUCCCAAACCAGUCAUUGUACAACCAAAAAAGGUUCGAGCCCUCCUCCCAUUUCUGUUCCUCACGGUAUUCUAUUUUUUUUUCUUGUUUUUCAAUUGUGAAUUCAGCAUUGUCUGCCAUUGAACAUAUUUUUGCAUUUCAUUUUGAUGUAUGUUGGGCUCUUUGGUGCUUCUUGCUGAGAGCUGCAUGGCUUGGAGGAGCUCGCAAGGUUAACGAAGGUAUAUGAUGCUGCAGUGCACCUCAUACGCACAUCAUCAACAAUCUCCCAUUUGGUAUAGUAACUUGGUGUUGUUCAAACAAAAAAGUUCAGGACGCCCAAGACUGAGGUGGUGAGUGUUACAGAUCAAGUGGUGGCCACUUUGUGGAGGGAUGUGGUACGGUCCAAGGACGACAUGAGGAUGUGAGUCUUGCCAUGACUACAUGCACUUCGUCAAUAUGCUUCUGUAAGUGAAAGCUGCUGCUAUAUUUUUUUAGUUUUUUGACUGGUCAUUUUGGGCUUGUGCUUUUAGUAGGACACAAACGAUGAUUUCAAUGGUCCAUUGUAUUGCAAUUGAUUGUCCUUUUUGUAGAAAAUUUCCAAGGUAGAUUGGGGCAGAAUUUUCCAUGCCGUAUUUCUCCUCGAGUAAGCAAGCCAUUUGAAUUACUCACGGAAUGAUACCUCUCUGGCAUUUUUAGUUACAUAUUUACCUAAAUCCUCUAUAAUAGCAAGUUCUUAUUUGUUUAAUAUAUUUGCCUCUCCUAACUAGGAUAAGUAAACAAAUUACAAAGAUCUUUUCCAAAGGAGAGGAGAGGAAAAAAUAGCCUCCUUUUGGGCUUGUGAACCGUGUGCAAAUAUUUUGAUGAAUUGUUGGAUAUUUCUAAACUCUGAGGUGGUAGUGUAGACCACCAUGAUUGUUGU